UGAGCUGUCAGCACAGAGCCUGACAAGGAGCUUGAACUCACAGACUGCGAGAUCCUGACCUGAGCUGAAGUCAGCUGCUUAACUGACUGAGCCACCCAGGCAGCCCUACCAACUCCCAACUUUUAAUGCCCCUCCAAAACCUGCCUGCUUGUGUACGGUCUCUUGUGCUCUCUGCUGCAUUUAAAAAAUAUUUUCUGGAGUUUCUAGCUUUUGUUUGUAGGACGAUCAGCUUAUUGGAUGUGUUUGGUGCACAUUUGGUGUGUUUGGUGUGUCUGUUCUGCCUUGGUGUGGACUGAAAGCCUCAGUUCCCUGGAAAAGGGGAGAAAUCAGGGAGGUGGAAAGGCGUGGGCACCAGGAGGAGCCAUCUCAGCAGCUGGGUUUAUGCAUUAUGCACCAGCUAAUCUUGCUUCAUAGACACAACCACGUGACUCAGUGUGCCCUUGAAGGAAAUCAGAGUCUAGUCAUUGUCGUUCUCAACCACUGGGUGGCUCUGUCCACUAAUUUUCCUAACACCAAGUCAGGCUAGAAUUGCUUUGCAGUGGCUGCAAACCCUUACCCUCCAGGACACAGCUUAAAAUGCCAUCUCCAUGGUGGCUCUUCCUGUCCUGACUCACUGCCAGAAGGACUCAUCACAUUGACUUCUGAACACACCUUCUGCCCAGCCAGCCCAAGGCCUUUGUGUGAAUUUUCAUGAAUAGACAUUUAGUGAAGGCUACUAGGUGCAAAGGGUAAAUCCAAAGUGGUGGCUCAUGCCUCCAAGGCAGCCUUUUUCAACUGACUGCACAGAUAUGUGUUGGAUGUAAUGGGCUAACUUCUCUCCUUUGCAUCUAGGGUGGCGCUAGUUAUGCAUCAUCCUUGGGAGAAUUGAGAAAAUAGUCUCACAAAUCAUCUGUGUUCUGUGGUUCAGAUGAGAAACCCUAUGUUAUAGAGUCUGUGGGGGGGAGGCUCCUUUUCUGGGAAGAACAUGAGGGAGAGAGAAAGGGAAGCUCUGCAUAUGUGCUUUAGGAUGAAAGCAACUGUCCUCACAAACCACUUCUUGGUCCUGCCAUUCACAACAUGGUUCCUUUUCCACCAACUCUUCCUCUGCCACAAGGGGCAGUGUGGGAACUGAGAGCCAUCAUCUUUCCUUUACCAGCGAGAACCUUCUGGAUGCAAGCAUUCUUUCUCUGGCAGAGGAGCCCUAAAGUACUGACUCUGCUAUGAGCCAGAUGUGGGACUGGACCCUUUGUGUGUGUUAACUGGUGUGAUUUGCAUAAUAACCUGAAAUUGUGGGUGUUUUGGUCUCAGUUUUACAGCACAAAACCGAUGCUCAGAGCGGUUGAAUACUUUGCACAUCAACACACAGACAUGCUCUAAAUUCUCACAUUAAAAAAAAUUCUCCCUUGAGCCCAUACCUGUUUCUGGCUUCAAUCCUGAAUUUUGUUUCCUUUCACAAAAAAGUUCUUAGUAGAGUUCCCUAUGGAGCAUCCUAGUCCCUGCUUCUACAGCCCCAUUCUCUCACCCCCUUUGGUAGGGCUUCUGUCACUGCUCAUCCAGGUCACUGGAUAUUCCUGAGUUGAACACAGUGGCCAUCUCUCUAUCCUUCUUUUAUCUCUUGGUAGCACUCAUCACGUUUGACCACUCACUCUUUCCUGAAUUAUUUUCUUCUCUUGGCUGCCAGAUGACCACACUCUCCUGGAUUUCCUGCUAUCUUACUGGCUUCUCCUCCCUCCCAUUUAUGUGAGACUCCUGCUCUGUUCUACCUCUAAAUGUCUGAGGGCCCUGGAGCCCACUGCUCAUCACCUUCCUACAUGACCCCAUCUGGUCCCAUGGCUUUAUAUCUCCAGCUUGGCCUUUCCCUGAUGUUCCAGACUUACACAGCCAGUCCCCUGCUCAGCGUGGCCACAUGGAUGGAUAACUAACAAGUGUCUAAAAAUUGUCAUGUCCCUAUCCUGAUUCCACUCCUAACUUGCUUUUCCCCCAGACUUCCUCAUUUCUAGAAAUUGUGCCAACAUCCACCUAGUUGCUCAAGCCCUAAUCUUUCUCAGUAUUUCUUUUUAAUUCUGUCCCCCAAGCAGUUCUCUAAUUUGCUCAUUUUCCUCUAGCUCCACCACUUCCUGCCUGGCCCCAGCCACCGUCAUCUGUAGCCUGGGCUGCUGUGGGGCUGUGCUAACUGGUUUCCCUUGCCCCCAGUAAUCCUUGUCUGCAUAGCAGCCAGUUUUCUUUAAAUAGGUGGAUCAGAUGAUGCUACUUGGCUGCUUAGAAGCAUCCCCAGUGGCUUCCCACCUCCCAGUGUAAGUUGCACACUCCUUAAUCUGGCUCACAAAGUACUCCUGACAUGCUCUGCUUUCCUGGUUCCUCACCCACUCUCCCGGCUGCAUGCUCCAGACAUACUGCUCUCGCGGACCAAGCUAGCUCCUGCCCAGCAUUUUGCACUGGUUCUGUCCCCUGCCCAGGAAGUUUUCUUCCUCACACGGCUGAUUCGCUUUAGUCUUUUAGCUGUUGGGUUACACACAUCACCUCCUUGGAGAGGCCUUUCCUCACCACCGAGUCUGAAGUAGCCAACCUGGCGUGUCCCUGGAUCUUGAGAACUGCUUGGAUCUUUCCACCCCCCACCCCAAGUUCUACUGUCUAGGGGAAUCCAAAGUUUUUGCAAGACUUCUGUGACUCUCCAAGGACUUACUUCACGCUUCUCAGUCUUUAAUUCCUUGUUCUGGGGUCCUGGCCCUUUCUCACAUCUAUGUUAAUCUUGACGGGGAGUUAUCCCCCUUUGUAAUUUCCUCCCAAACCACUCACAUCAAGUAUUCUGAGAGCUACAUAAUUGAUGGGACUCUUGAGAGUGCCAAGGAGGAGAGGGGGCCCACUGUUCACUGCUCUGGAUCCAGCCCCUCCCCCCAGGGCCCUCUCCCCACCACUCUCUGGCUCUCAAAGGUAAAACAGUCCCUCCCCUUGGUUUACUCCUUCCCCUGAAGUCUUGGCCCCAGUCUGUAGUCCUGUCCUGGGGGAGUUUCCUGCCUUACCUGGGCUUACUGACACAUUCUCUUAACAGAGGUUGUUUCCUCCAUGAAAGGGAUUCUUGUUCUUGCUGCUAAGAGAAUAACAACAUUUCCAUUUUAUUAUAGUGCUUGUUCCAGACCCUGUAGUUGGGGAUUGUCACAACAGCCCUAUAAGGUAUCAGUUCCACUUUGCAGAUGAGGAACCUCAGCUCAACGAAUUAGAGGCUGAUUAACACCAGGCUCCGGAGAGAUUCAGUAUCCCUCCCUGCAUCUGCCUGUUGCUUCCUCAAAAUCUUGACAGGAGUCAAGGGGUAGGUGGAUGGAGGCCAGGCUCUCAGGAGCCCAGAUCAUGGAAAAGGAGGCCCUCAGGCCUUGAGCUGUGGCUCUUUUUGUGGGAUGGAUCCAUUUUUCCCUACACUUACACAAUCCUCAACCUCACCUAGAUCAGAAGUUUCUUCUGUUUAAAAUAUGGCUCUCAGUUCUAACGCCAGAUCUGCCAAUGACUUGUAGUGCAGCCUUGGGCAAGUCACUGUUCCUCCUCUGAACUUUAGUUCACUUAUCUCACAGUGAGAGAAAGCUCCUUUCUGUCCUACGUCCUAUGGUAUUAAAGAAAAGUCAGAUGCUGGAAUAAUAAGACUCAUCUACUGAACACUUGCUGUGUGCUAUGUAUUCUUUUAAUCCUCUCAGCAUCUGGAGGGAGGUCCUGUAAUUGACCUAUUUUUACAAACAUCGAAACUGAGGCUUAGAAGGAUUUAGUUGUCCCAAGGUCUGCCCCAAGUGGCAGAAUUGGGUUUUGAACCUAGACUUACCUUUCUGAACUUGGAGCCAAAGCUUUUAAACCAUUGCAUCAAUUAGCUCCUGCUAAUACUAGUUCAGGCUGCUGAUGACUCUCAAUGGUCGCUCACACACAUGCAUACACAUGUACUCUCUUGUGGGGAAACAUGUGUACAUCUGGCCUAUCUUUGGAGGCCUCUCUGAAGGCCAAAUACCAUUUCUUUUUGUUUUUUUAAUUUUUAAAUUAUUUAAAUUAAAAACAUUUUUAAUUAUUUUAUUUUUUAUUUAAAUCCAAGUUAGUUAACAUAUAGUAUAAUAAUGAUUUCAGGAAUAGAAUAUAAAGAUUUCAGGAAUAUGUAGUGAUUCAUUACUUACAUAUAACACCCAGUGCUCAUCUCCACAAGUGCCAUCCUUAAUGUUCAUCACCCAUUUAGCCCAUCCCCCCACCCAGCAUCCCACCAGCAACCCUCAGUUUGUUCUCUGUAUUUAAGAGUCUAUUAUAGUUUGCCUCCCUCUCUGUUUUUAUUUUAUUUUUGCUUCCCUUCCCCUAUGUUCAUCUGUUUUGUUUCUUAAAUUCCACAUGAAUGAAAUCAUAUGAUAUUUGUCUUUCUCUGAGUUAUUUCACUUAGCAUAAUACCCUCCAGUUGCAUUCACGUUGUUGCAAAUGUCAAGAUUUCAUUCUUUUUGAUCGUUGAGUAAUAUUCCAUUGUGUAUAUAUAUAUACCACAUCUUCUUUAUCCAUUCACCAGUCAAUGGACAUUUGGGCUCUUUCCAUACUUUGGCUAUUGUCAAUAGUGCUGCUGUAAUCAUUGGGGUGCAUGUGCCCCUUCAAAUCAGCACUCCUGUAUCCUUUGGAUAAAUACAUAGUAGUGUAAUUGCUGAGUCAUAGAUAGUUCUAUUUUUAAUUUUUGAGGAACCUCCAUACUGUUUUCCAGAGUAGCUGCCCCAGUUUGCAUUCCCACCAGCAGUGCAAAAGGGUUCUUUUUUCUCUGCAUCCUUGUCAACAUCUGUUGUUUCCUGAUUGUUUCCUUCCUUGCCAACAUCUGUCAUUUCUAGUUGUUAAUGUUAGCCAUUCUGACAGGUGUGAGGUGAUAUCUCACUGUGGUUUUUAUUUGUAUUUCCCUGAUGAUGAGUGAUGUUGAGCAUCUUUUCAUGUGUCAUCUGGAUGUCUUUUUUUGGAAUCCUUUUAUGCCUUUUGCCCAUUUCUUUACGGGAUCAUUUGUCUUUUGGGUGUGGAGUUUGAUAAGUUCUUUAUAGAUUUUGGAUACUAACCCUUUAUCUAACAUGUCGUUUGCAAAUAUCUUCUCCCAUUCUGUUGGUUGCCUUUUAGUUUUGCUGAUUGUUUCCUUUGCUGUGCAGAAGCUUUUUAUUUUGAUGAGGUCCCAGUAGUUCAUUUUUGCUUUUGUUUCCCUUGCCUCUGGAGACAUGUCAAGUAAGAAGUUGCUAUGGCCGAGGUAAAAGAGGUUGUUGCCUGUUUUUUCCUCUAGGAUUUUGAUGGCUUCCUGCCUUAUGUUUAGGUCUUGCAUCCAUUUUGAGUUUAUUUUUGUGUAUGGUGUAAAAGUGUUCCAGGUUCAUUCUUCUGCAUGUCACUGUCCAGUUUUCCCAACACCAUUUGCUGAAGAGACUCUUUUUUCCACUGGAUAUUUUUUCCUGCUUUGUCAAAGAUUAGUUGGACAUAGGUUUGUGGGCCCAUUUCUGGGUUCUCUAUUCUGUUCUAUUGAUCUAUGUGUCUUUUGUGUGUGUGUGUGUGCCAGUACCAUACUGUCUUGAUGAUUACAACUUUGUAAUGCAGCUUGAAGUCUGGAAUUAUGAUGCCUCCAGACUUGGUUUUCUUUUUCAACAUUGCUUUGGCUAUUCGGGGUCUUUUCUGGUUCCAUACAAAUUUUAGAAUUGUUUGUUUUGUGAAGAAUGCUGGUGUUAUUUUGAUAGGGAUUGCACUGGAUAUGUAGAUUGUUUUGGGUAGUAUCAACAUUUUAACAAUAUUUGUUCUUCCAAUCCAUGAGAAUGGAACGUUUUUCCAUUUUUUGGUGUCUUCUUUAAUUUCUUUCAUCAGCUUUCUAUAGUUUUCAGUGUAUGGAUUUUUCACCUCCUUGGUUAGGUUUAUUCCUAGGUGUUUUAUGAUUUUUGGUGCAAUUGUAAGUGGGAUUGAUUCAUUGAUUUGUCUUUCUGCUGCUUCAUUAUUGGUGUAUAGCAAUGCAACCAACUUCUGUGCAUUGAUUUUAUAUCCUGUGACUUUGCUGAUUUCAUGUUUCAGUUCUAGCUGUUUUUGCUGAAGUCUUUUGGGUUUUCCACAUAGAAUAUCAUGUCAUCUGUGAAGAAUGAAAGUUUGACUUCCUCCUUGCCAAUUUGGAUGCCUUUUAUUUCUUUUUGUUGUCUGAUUGCCAAGGCUAGGACUUCCAAUGCUAUGUUGAACAACAGUAGUGAGAGUGGACAUCCCUGUCAUGUUCCUGACUUCAGGAUUCCAUGUUUUUCCCCAUUGAGGAUGAUAUUAGCUGUGGGUCUUUCAUAUAUGGCCUUUAUGAUCUUGAAGUAUGUUCCUUUUAUCCGUACUUUCUUGAGGGUUUUUGUCAAGAAAGGAUACUGUAUUUUGUCAAAUGCGUUUUCUGCAUCUGUCGAGAGGAUCAUGUAGUUCUUAUUCUUUCUUUUAUAAAUGUGAUGUAUCACAUUGAUUGAUUUACAGAUAUUGAAUCAGCUCUGCAUCCCAGGAAUAAAUCCCACUCGGUCGUGGUGAAUAAUUGUUUAAAUGUGUUGUUGGAUCUUGUUUGCUAGUAUCUUGUUAAGAAUUUUUGCAUCCAUGUUCAUCAGGGAAAUUGGUCUGUAUUUCUCCUUUUUAGUGGGGUCUUUAUCUGGUUUUGGAAUCAAGGUAAUGCUGGCCUCAUAGAAAGAGUUUGGAAGUUUUCCUUCUAUUUCUAUUUUUUUGGAACAGCUUCAAGAGAAUAGGAGUUAACUCUUCCUUAAGUGUUUGGUAGAAUUCCCCUGGAAAGCCAUCUGGCCCUGGACUCUUGUUUUUUGGGAGAUUUUUGAUUACUGAUUCAAUUUCUUUACUGGUUAUAGGUCUGGUCAGAUUUUCUAUUUCUUCCUGUUUCAGUUUUGGUAGUGUAUAUGUUUCUAGGAAUUUUGUCCAUUUCUUCCAGAUUACCCAUUUUAUUGGCAUAUAAUCGCUCAUAAUAUUCUCUUAUUAUAGUUUUUAUUUCUGCGGUGUUGGUUGUGAUCUCUCCUCUUUCAUUCUUGACUUUAUUUAUUUGGGUCCUUUCCUUUUUCUUUUUGAUCAAACUGGCUAGUGGUUUAUCAAUUUUGUUAAUUCUUUCAAAGAACCAGCUUCUGGUUUCUUUGAUCUGUUCUACUGUUUUGUUUUGUUUUUGUUUUUUGUUUUUUGGUUUUUUUUGUUUCGAUAGCAUUAAUUUCUGCUCUAAUCUUUAUUAUUUCCUGUCUUCUGCUGCUUUUGGCUUUUUAUUUGCUGUUCUUUUUCCAGCUCUUUAAGGUAUAAGGUUAGGUUGUGUAUCUGAGCUCUUUCUUCCUUCUUUAGGAAGGCCUGGAAGGCUAUAUACUUUCCUCUUAUGAUUGCCUUUGCUGCGUCCCAGAGGUUUUGGGUUGUAAUGUUAUCAUUUUCAUUGGCUUCCAUAUAUUUUUAAUUUCCUCUUUAACUUCGUGGUUGGCCCAUUCAUUCUUUAGUAGGAUGUUCUUUAGUCUCCAAGUAUUUGUUGUCUUUCCAAAUUCUUUCUUGUGGUUGAUUUCGAGUUUCAUAGCAUUGUGGUCUGGAAAUAUGCACAGUAUGAUCUCGAUCUUUUUGUACUUGCUAAGGGCUGAUUUGUGUCCCUAUGUGUGGUCUAUUCUGGGAACAUUCCAUGUACACUGAAGAAGAAUGCAUAUCCCACUGCUUUAGGAGGAAAUGUUCUGAAUAUAUCUGUUAAGUCCAUCUGGUCCAGUGUGUCAUUCAAAGCUAUUGUUUCAUUGUUGAUUUUUUGAUUAGAUGAUCUGCCCAUUGCUGUGAGUGGGGUGUUGAAGUGCCCUACUAUUUUGGUAUUACUAUCAAUGAGUUUCUUUAUGUUUGUGAUUAAUUGAUUUAUAUAUUUGGGUGCUUCCACAUUUGGCACAUAAAUGUUUACAAUUGUUAGGUGUUCUUGGUGGAUAGACCCCUUAAUUAUGAUAUGACCCCUUCUUCAUCUCUUGAUACAGUCUUUAUUUUAAAGUCUAGAUUGUCUGAUAUAAGUAUGGUUACUCUGGCUUUCUUUUGUUGACCAUUAGCAUGAUAGAUGGUUCUCCAUCCCCUUACUUUCAAUCCGAAGGUGUCUUUAGGUCUAAAGUGGGUCUCUUGUAAACAGCAUAUAGCUGGAUCUUGUUUUCUUAUCCAUUUUGUUACCCUAUUUUUUUUGAUUGGAGCAUUGAGUCCAUUGACAUUUAGAGUGAGUACUGAAAGAUAUGAAUUUAUUGCCAUUAUGUUGCUUGUAGAGUUGGAGUUUCUAGUGGUUUUCUCUGGUCCUUUCUAAUCUUUGUUGCUUUUGGUCUUUCUUUCUUUCUUUCUUUCUUUCUUUCUUUCUUUCUUUCUUUCUUAUUUCCUUCCUUCUUUCUUCAUCUUUUCUCCCCUCAGAGAGUCCCCCUUAAAAUUUCUUGCAGGGAUGGUUUAGUGGUCACAAACUCCUUUAAUUUUUGUUUGUCUGGGAAAAUUUUGUCUCUCCUUCUAUUUUGAAUGACAGCCUUGCUGGAUAAAGAAUUCUUGGCUGCAUGUUUUUCUGAUUCAGCACACUGAAUAUAUCCCACCGCUCCUUUCUGGCCUGCCAAGUUUCUGUGGAUAGGUCUGCUGCAAACCUGAUCUGUCUUCCCUUGUAGGUUAAGGACUUUUUUUCCCUUGAUGCUUUCAUGAUUCUCUCCUCACCUGAGUAUUUUGUGAAUUUGAAUAUGACAUGCUUUGUUGAUGAUUGGUUUUUGUUGAAUCUAAUGGGAGUCUUUCCCUAGGUUAGGAAAGUUUUCUGCUAUGAUUUGCUCACAUAACCCUUCUACCUCUAUUUCUCUCUCUUCCUUUUCUGGGACCCCUAUGAUUCUGAUGUUCCUUUUUAAGGAGUCACUGAUUUCUCUAAUUCUUAAAUCAUGCUCUUUUGCCUUAAUCUCCCUCUUUUUUUAUGCUUCAUUAUUCUCCAUAAGUUUGUCCUCUAUAUCACUGAUUCUCUGUUCUGCCUCAUCCAUCCUUGCUGCUGCCGCAUCCAUUCUAGAUUGCAGCUCAGUUACAACAUUUUUUAUUUCAUCCUGACCAGAUUUUACUUCUUUUAUCUCCAUAGAAAGGGAUUGUAAUCUAUUUUUGACUCCAGCUAGUAUUCUUAUUAUCGUGAUUCUAAAUUCUGGUUCAGACAUCUUGCUCGUAUCUGUGUUAGUUACGUCCUUGGCUGUUGUUUCUUCCUGCUCUUUCUUUUGGGGUUAACUCCUUCAUUUCAUCAUUUUGAAGAGAGAAAAGGAAUUAAUGUGGUAGAAAAAAAUUAAAAUUAAAAAAAUAUUGAAGUUAAAAAAUUAAAAACAAACACCCACAAAAAAAAAAUCAAAUAAAUGAUGCUAGAUCCUAGGUGUGUUUUGGUCUGGGUGUUGAAAGUGGCUUGAUAGAUUAGAGAAAAAAGGGAUAAAAAGAAAAAAAAAAGGAAAUCAUUUGAAAAUUUGAAAAAUGAAUACACUGAAGUAGACUAAAAUGAAAUGAUGGAAGUAAAAUAGAAUUUGAAAAAAUGUACACAAAAGUAAAAAAUAUAGUAGAAAAAAAUAAGAAAAAUAUUUUUAAUAAAGUUUGACAAUAAAAAUGAAUUUUUUCUCUUUAUGUAUUCAAGAAAAAGAAAAGAAAUGAAAAAGAGGAAAGAAAGAAAGAAAAUUGAAUAGUUGGACCAGCUAACAGACUGAAAUACGACUGAAAUUGUUUCGUUUUUCCCUGAAGUCAAACUAUGAAGCGCUUUAUAGUCCAUAAACUAAGCAGGCGGUGAGACUUGUGUUCUUGAAGAGCGAGGUUGGCCGCUCUUGAAGAGCGAGUUGGGCAGGGCUUAGUGUAAUGACUCGGUUCUCCACUAGAUGGCGCUGCUAGCCUACUGGGGUGGAUUGUUGUGGCGCUUGUAGGUGCAUAUGUGCAUGUGUGGGAGCGGUGAAAAUGGCUCUAGUCUCUAGUAUUGGAACUCUGUGCUCCCCUAUCGGCAAUCGUGCACUGUCCUUUGUCUUUGGCAUCCGUCCACUCCCCGCUUCCAUACUGUCCAUGACCAAGCCCCAGGCAGCACCUCCCUUCCAAGUUUUGUCUCAGAUGUGGCUGCCUUCCCCAGCCCCCCUUCUGAGGGACUGUGGCUUUGACCUGUUCUGCUCCUCUGCAGAGGGUCUCACUGAGCAAUGGCUGGGUGCUGACCGCACCCAGGAAUGCUUGCAGGACCGUGCUGCUGCUGAUGCCCAUUAGCAGACUAUAGCCAGGUGCCAGCCCACCCCAGAAAACGUUUGCAAGACAGUGUAGCAGCAGCGCCUCAGGGAUUAUGGAAAAUCACAACACACAUCUGGCACCAGGCUUCAUCCCCAAUGACCUUGUUCCAACAUCAGCAAAUGUGGCCAUUCUCUGGGGUCUGCUGGGCCCAGGUGGCCUCACAGCCUCUACCAAAUGUCCUUUCAGCGGUGGAACUGCUUCUCCCUGUGUGGCCCAAGAACCUCCCGGACCCCACUCUGCUCCUGGGGAUUCUCCCUUCCCACCAGAACACCACCAGGUAUCAAGCUGCGGAGUUUCAGACUCUGUGCUCCCCCUGUUUACAGUCUUAAUGGAAUUUAAACCCCCUCCUUUCUCCUUUCUCCCUUUUUAGUUCAGUCCCUGUGGCUGUUUCCAAUUUUCCACUUUCUCUCCAGCUGCUUUUGGGGAGUGGUGCUUUUCCCAUAAUCUCCCCCGCCCCCAUCUCCUUCCUCUCUCCACAUGCAAAAGCAGCUCCCUGCCCUCUGCAGCUUCUCUCUCCCCAAGUUCAUCUCUCCACGCUGUGUACCUGCUGAAUUCUGUGGUUUAGGUUGUGCAGAUUGUUGUGUUAAUCCUCGGAUCAGUUUUCUUGGUGUGCAGGAUGGUUUAGUGUUGGUCUGGCUGUAUUUCAUGGAUGUGAGACACACAAAAAACUUCCAUGUUGUUCCACCAUCUGGAAAGAUCUUUAAUUUAUUUUAAAUUUAUUUUUAAAUUUACAUACAAGUUAGUUAGCAUAUAGUGCAACAAUGAUUUCAGGAGUAGAUUCCUUAAUGCCCCUUACCCAUUUAGUUCAUCCCCCCUUCCACAAACCCUCCAGUAACCCUCUGUUUGUUCUGUAUAUUUAAGAGUCUCUUAUGUUUUGUCCCCCUCCCUGUUUUUAUAUUAUUUUUGCUUCACUUCUCUUACGUUCAUCUGUUUUGUAUCUUAAAUUCCUCAUAUGAAUGAAGUCAUGAUAUUUGUCUUUCUCUAAUUUCAUUUAGCAUAAUACCCUCUAGUUCCAUCCGCAUAGUUGCAAAUGGAAAGAUUUCAUUCUUUUUGAUUGCUGAGUAAUACUCUAUUGUAUUAUCAAGAAAGGAUACCACAUCUUCUUUAUCCAUUCAUCUGUUGAUGGACAUUUGAGCUCUUUCCAUACUUUGGCUAUUGUUGAUAGCGCUGUUAUAAACAUUGGGGUUCAUGUGCCCCUUUGAAACAGCACACCUGUAUCCCUUGGGUCAAUACCUAGUAGUGCAAUUGCUGGUUCAUAAGGAAGUUCUAUUUUUAAUUUUUUGAGGAACCUCCAUACUGUCUUCCAGAGUGGCUGCACCAGUUUGCAUUCCCACCAGCAGUGCAAAAGAGAUCCUCUUUCUCCACAUCCUCACCAACAUCUAUUGUUGCCUGAGUUGUUAAUGUUAGCUAUUCUGACAGGUUUGAGGUGAUAUCUCAUUGUGGUUUUGAAUAGUAUUUCCCCAAUGAUGAGUGAUGUUGAGCAUUUUUUCAUUAACCAGCUAGUAUUCUUAUUAUCAUGGUUCUAAGUUCUAGUUCAGAUAUCUUACUUAUAUCUGUGUUGAUUAAAUCUCUGGCUGUCACUUCUUCCUGUUUUUUUGGGGGGGGUGAUGGAGAAUUCCAUCCUUUUGUAUUUUGGAGGAAGAAAAAAAUUAAUAAAAUUAAAAGUAAAAAUUAAAAAAUUAAAAACAAAACAAAAAUCAAAUAAAAGAAGCUAGAUCCUAGAUGUGCUUUGGUCUGCUUGUUGAAAGAAGCUUGAUAAAAUAGAGAAACAAGGGAAAGGAAAGAAAAAAAAGGUAAGAAAAAAUUUAAAAGUUAAAAAAAUUUAUAGAAUAAAAUAAAAUAAAGUUAAAUAGAAUAAAAAUAAAAUGAUAAAAAAAGUAAAAAAGUAAACAUAAAGUGUCCUUUCUGUAUCCAAGAAAGAGCAAGAAAAGAAAGAAAAAAGAAAACAAUGCAAGCAAAAACAGAAGAAAGAAAACAAAUAAGUUAACCAGCAAACAGAAUGAAGCCUGAAUGAAGUUACAUCCAGUUUCCCCUAGAACUGAAACUAUGAAGACUUUUAUAGUCUGUACACUAAGCAGGUGGAGUGACUUGUGCUGGUCUUCUAGGGGAUGUGCUUGGAGGGCACAGUUGGACUGGGCUAAGUGUAAUGGCCCUGUUUUCCAGUAGGUGGCGCUGCUUAGCCAACUAGUGGGUGGAUCUGUGUGCGAGUUUAUAUGCGCUGGUGCGGCAGAGAUGGAAAUGGCUUCAUCCAGCUCUCCAGUCUCUGGAGCAGGAACUUUGCUCUCUCACCCAUCUGUAAUCAAGCACCCUCCUUUGUUUCAGGCCUCCAUCCACUCCUCGCCUCUACCCUGUCCAUGUCCAAGCUGUCCACCUGCCAGGCGGUCCCUCCCUCCAGCUUUAUCUCAGAUGGGUUGUGUUUCUUAUUUUAUUAAAAAACUUUUUUUUUACAUUUAUUUAUUUAUUUUUAAGAGACAGAGAGAGAGAGAGAGAGCAUAAGUGGGGGAUGGGCAGAGAGAGAAGGAGACACAGAAUCUGAAGCAGGCUCCAGGCUCCGAGCUGUCAGCACAGGGCUGGACGCGGGGCUCAAACUCACAAACCAUGAGAUCAUGACCUGAGCUGAAGUCCGACGCUCAACCGACUGAGCCACCCAGGCGCCCCCAGAUGGGGUUGUGUUUCAAAAUCCCACAUUUCAGAGACCCUCAGGGCUUGGACCCACCCUGAUUCUCUGGGGGAGGCUCUCGCUGAGCAAUGGGGGGGGGGGGCUGCCAUCUUGCCCCAGAAAACAUUCAUGCUAUCGACAAUGGCAGAAGUUCAGGGAUUAUGGCAAAUUACAACACACCUGGAGCCAGGCCAAAUACCAUUUCUUACAGGCCAGCCAAAUCCAGCCCCAGGACAUCUGGUCAUCUGGUUCAAAUGCUCAUGGUGCAGCAAAUGGCUGUACAGAGAAGGGACAUGUGGCCAGAACUCUCACCUCCACAUAAAAUUCUCGUUGUACUACCCAGAAUUGUUUCCUCAUGUUUUGCCUUCCUGUCCUACCCAUUGGUUCCUCCAUGUUGCUGUGUGUGGUCUUCUGUUUUGAGCUGAAGGCCUUUCUCUGAUAUAGCAGUGAAAACCACCCACUGUUCUAGGCCUUAUUUUCCAUUCCCUCCCAAUUGAUCACCCACGUCCCAUAAGGCUGACAGUCAAGUAAGCUGGUUAGGUGUAGGUUUAUGUGGAUGAGGUCUUUGCUUUAGGAUGACCAGGGCUAGAAGACCCUUGUGUGUCCUGAUGAGGAGGGCCUUUGUGUGUGUGUGUGCAUGUGUCUAAAGCCAGGCAUCUAUUUACCUUGAAAAGAUGAGGAAUAGCCCUCUUUGAAAACAACUGAAUGUACCUAAGAAAAGUAUGUCCAGUUCUGAACUGUUAGGAGUUUCUGGCAAGCUUUGUAUUAUGUGCUGGGGUGGGAAUUUGACUUUGUAUAUAGAUUUUCAAUUAGGCUUUUAGAUUGACAUCUCAACUCUGAACUGUGAUGGAUCAAAAAAAAAAAUAAGAAAAAGAAAAAAGAAGAGAGAGAGACAGAGACAGAGACAGAGAGACACACACAGAGAAACAACAAACAACAUUUCCUUUCUGGCUUGCCAGGAUCCUGGCCCUGGCCUGUGCUUCCUGUUUUCAGCUCCAUCCUGUCCUUUAGGCUUGUGAACUCUGGUUCCCUGGUUUUUGACCCUGGUGCUGGCUAAGGACUUUGAAACUUCCUGCUGCCUUGGGUGUACAUGCUGAAUUUGUUCUGGUUCCUGUGUCAAUCCAAGCCCUGACAUCCCUCCAUGUCCACUUUGGCCUCUGCAAGCAAAGAUCUGGGCCUAUGUUGUAUUUGUUAGUGAUUCUGUUGUCCCUGGUUUGUGAGCUACUAGAGGGAGAAAUUUGAUCAUGUUCAGUUGUAAUGCCUCAGCUCUGAUAGCAAGGAGGGUGAAGAGAAAUUUCUGGGUCAAGGAGCAGGAACCUCCAGGCCAGGAGGUUCUAAAACAUGUACCACUUCCUCGCUGUGGAGGGACAAGGGCAGGAAGCCUGUGGGUCAGAGUCUUGGACCCUUCCCUGUCUCUGAGGCCCUGGCUGGUGACUGAUGGGCCAUUGUAUAAGUUAAAGUGCUUUUGGCACCAGUAAUGGAAACCAAGAUCUGCUAAGUCUAGCUAAUGUCAAGAAAAGGGGGUAUGGAUCCUCAGAUGUCCACGAUGGAUGAAUGGAUACACAAAAUGUGGUACAUACACACAAUGAAACAUUAUUCAGCCUUAAAAAGGAAUGAAGCCCUGAUGGGGCUGCAGCAUGAGUAAACUGGAGAUACUGAGAUCUAUACUUCUCUUUUGUGUUGGGGAUCUAACAAAACCUCUGCAACAGGGACAAAAAUUAUUAGCAUGUGAAUAUUCCCAUUCUGGUUGCUAAAAAAGAAAUGUUUUAAGAGAAAAGAAGAAGAAAAAGAAAUCUAGUAAAGGGAUAAGCAUGGACAGGAAAAGUCAGGAGUUCUAUCAGGCAUUUCAUGAGUAAGGGGCCAGAGAUGUGGCAGGUCGGAAGCUGGCCAUAAUUAUUUAGGAUGGCUGGUGUGCAGGUGGGAGGGGAGGCCCCAAAGGCAGAGCCAAGAGAAAGAUGUGAAAUACAUAUUUCUGUGUAUUGAGAAUGUAUUUAUCCCCACCUCCCUUAACUUUGGCAUUUCCUCUGGAGAUUGAGAAACUGUUUGAAAUACUUUUAAUUACUUUUUGCAUCAGGGGCCAGCUUCUCUCAAUACCACUGUCAUCCAGACCACAUGGCUGCCUGCAUUUUCACAGGGUUGCAUUUUUCUUUCUGGAACCUGGACUCCCACCGAGGCUUCAGAGCUUCAGAGCUGGGGUUGGCCUUCCUAUGUUCUAAUACUUUUAACCUGGGCCAAAUUCCUGGGAGGCAGCAAAGGUAGAUUGGGAUCCUUGAUGUACUCUUGGACCCAUUUGUUGUUGGGGUUGGCGCAGACCUCUCGAUUCUUUUUGGUGACAAAACUGUGGAGGCAGAGUUAGAAUGUCAGCGAGCAUGGAGUAGGGUGGGGGUCCAGUCCACACUCCCCCAUUUUUAGCUCACUGGGGGCUCACCUCAUACUCUUUACUGCAUCCCUAGGCCUCCCCCAUCUGAAUUCCCUCAGUAGGCCUCCCUCUCUGGCUUCUAGACCUGGCUUCAUUGUCCCUGUUUCAACCUGUUCCCUGCUCAACCAAGAUACUUAGGCAUGGGUACCAUUAUGGCUGUCAUUUAUCAGUCCACAAAACUAUAAGUGGCAACAUCAAGAAUUAAACUCAGGCCUGGGGCUCAUGCGUGGUUCAGUAGGUUAAGCGUCCAACUUUGGCUCAGGUCAUGACCUUGUGUGGUUCAUGAGUUCGAGCCCCACAUCAGGCUCGCUACUGUCAGCGCAGAGCCCACUUCAGAUCCUCUGCCUCCCUCUCUUUCUGUCCUCUCCCACUCUAUCCCUCUUUCUCUCUCUCCCAGAAAUAAGUAAAUAUUAAAAAAAUAAGCAACCGAGGACUUCCCUGCGAGAUUCAAAGCCCAAGCCCUUAAGCACGACUCUCCUGCUUCUAGCAUGGAGACUUCUUGGUUCUGUGCAUCUCAUUCUGGCCCCAGUUCCCCUUCCCCCUCCACAGAAAUGUCUGCAGGGCAUGCUUACAUGAUUGCUGGCAGGUAACAGUUGAGGGCCUUUCUGUAUCCCACCACCAAUUUCUUUGGCAAUACUUUCUCAUGAUACUUCAGGCAGCAGGUGGGAGAAUGGUUCACCGACUCAGGAAUUUCUGAGAGAAUCACAUUGAAAGCUGAACCAGGUAGGCAUAGAGGGAGCCCGUGGUUACCUACCUUCAUCUCCCACCCAUUGCAUUCCAUGCUUCUGAUGGCAAAACCAUCUGUUAGCAGGGACUGAUGAUAGCUUUAUGGGUAACAGAGAACAUGAAAAAAGGAAGGGGGGGGUGGACAUACAUCUAGAACCUUCAGCUUCUGAACUGAGUUUCAGCAAAUGCAAGUGACUUGGUUAUUCAUGUUUGCUGGUGAGCCAGGGCUUGAUUUGGCCAACACAUAUUGAGCUCUAAGGGGGCAAAACCCUGAGGAAGACACUGUCAUUACUCUGGAGCGUCUCACUGUCUAGUCAGAGUGAAAAGGGAAAGUGAAAUGAAUUGUGGAAAACAGAAUGAGGGGUACCUACCCCAGCCUGGGUGGCUGAGGAAGAAGUCCCACAGCAUGUAGUGCAUGGCUUGCUUCUUGAAAGAUGAGUGGGAUUGAAGCAGAUGAAAGGGUUGUGGGAUCUGGAAAAGAGAAAGGCAUGAAGGCGUGGGGGAAGCCGAGUGUCUGGGGAAUGCUGAGCCGCUACAGAUGGCAGCAAUGCAAUGUGAGAAGAAAGAAGAGGAGACAGAAUUGGAGAGGGAAGGGGAGACUAGCACACCUUCUGAGCUGUGGACUCUAUCCUAGCAGCAUUAGAGGGGCUGAAGUCAGUGAGGAGGGUGAGAUGAGCAGUGAGCCAGAGAAGUUAGGGUGGGAAGAAAAGUUCUGUUUAGGCUUCGGGUCAGACAUCUGGAAUCGGUAUCUUGACCAAAUGAUUUGAAGUAUGGGCAAAUUAAAAAAAUCUCUCUAGGUCUCAUCCAUUAAAUUAGGGUAAAAAUAUGCUUAUAUGUCCUAGGAUCAUCGUGAGGGUUAGUUGAGAAAAUGCUGGUAAAACCCUUAAAUCAGAACAUAGUAAGGCUCAGUCAGUGCUUGUUACAAUUAAGAGUAGAUGGUAGUAAUUGACCAUUUUUCUUGCCUGGAAAUGCCACUUCCCCCCCUCUCUUUGAUGCUGUCAGAAUGCUGGCCUUGGUUGGUUGUUAGUGCUGUGUUUCUCUUGAGCUCCCCUGACUACUCAUCAGUUGGGAUAUCAAACAAGAGGGCAGGUAGAGACCUCUCCCAGCCCCAAAACUGCAGACUGCAGAUCCCUUUGCUGCCUGACCCUUUGCUUCCAGCUGGUGGCCAAGAUUGGAAUAUCUCAAGAGUACCAUUUGGCUGAUCCAUGCUUUGGGUGGGCCAUUUUCUGAAACCUUUUUGAAGACUGAACCCAUCGUAGUGGUCUGUUUGACCUUCCCUAAGGGCAAUGUUACCUCCUGCCACCCAGAUGCAGCUCUGCACAUAGUGACGUCCAUGACCCUGGUUCUCAAAGCAAAGAUGACAAAGUCCAGGGGGCAUCUGGGGAGCAUGUGGGCAGAAUAUGUGGUGUGCAUGACCGUUGUUCCCCUGAGAGUUUAUAUGCCAGAGUCCGACCAGACCACAUGCUAAAGGUAGCCUUAGGGAGAAAAAAAGGGGCUCGGGCACAUGGAAGUUGGUAUGUGGAAAGUCUGAGUGGCUUGGUCUCUUUCUUGUUGCCAGGUCCUCACACAUGAUGGUUGAGGCAGGGAUAGAGAGUGGGAAAAACAAACCUUGUUCUCCAUAGGUCCCAAGCAUCCUGUGGCUCCCAAAACCUUUCAACCCCUUUCUCUUUUCUAUAGCCUUUAUUUAAACCCAGGCUGGGGAAUGGGGACAGAGGCCAUGAAAUCCUGCACUGCACACCUGGGCAUCCCAUUGGGCCUUCCUUUGGCUGCCAUGAUAGUCCCAGAAAUCUGUGCCAGACACUACAAGGAAGAGUAUCUAGGUUCAGACUCCCCACCCCUGGGCUUGGCCCCAAACAUCACUUCAGCCCCCUUCCCAGUACCUUUUGUCCUGCUCUCUCAGAGCACCUGUAGCUUUUCUUAUCCAGCUAUCUUCCUCUCCUUUUGUUGUUCACGUUUAUUCUCGUAUCUCCUAUUACUUCCUUGGCUCCUCCUAAAUGAUCGCUCGCUAUUCUCCAUCUUUGGGAUUCCUGACAUGACCUUGACCCAGCUUCCUGGAACUGCCUGAUGAUCCCAGAAGGGAUCUAGAUACCAGCCCAGCUCUCCUUGCAAAGGAGAGAGUUUGAGGAGUGUGCCUGCAGGAGGGGAGAGGGCCCACGGCUGAUGACGGAGACCUGACAGGACUCUUGAUGUCACCUCACUGCCAGCUGCCCUUUCUCAUUCCAGCCCUGCAGGGACAGGUGGACUCACUUGACUGGCCGUACAAAGCCGGAGUGGUGAUGAGGAUGAGGAGAAAGAGGGCAGCCACAGAGAACUUCAUCCUCUCCGGGGGACCCUUUAGCUUCAGGGGAGGCUGGUUGUCCACUCUGACUUCACAGCUGCUCUCUGUACUCUGACCACUUCAGAGUGGGUGGAGGAGAGAAGAGGUGCCUCCCUCUGUUUGCCAAAAGGAAGGGUGGGGCUUGGCGCAGAGUUGAAUUAAUAAGUUUUUUUUUUAAUGUUUAUCUAUUUUUGAGAGAGAGAGAGCAGGGGAGGAAUGGAGAGAGGAGGGGGCAGAGAAUCCCAAACAGGCUCUGCACUGAUAGCCAUGAGCCCAAUGGGGGGGGGGGGCUCAAAUUCAUGAAUCAUGAGAUCAUGAUCUGAACAAAAGUCAGACCUUCAACCAAUCUGAGCCACCCAGGUGCCCUGAAUUAAUAAGAUUUAAAUUCACCAGGAGAGGAGUAGAGGAAGGGAACAUGUGGUUCACGUGUGCUGUGUGUCAGCGUCUUUAUAUAGGCGCUGUUUGACUUAAUUCUCACCAUAGUGAAGCGGAGAUUAUUAUUCCAUUUUAUAAAUGAGGCCACUUGAGGCUUGGAGAGGUUAAAUUCUCCCAGGUCACAGAGAUGAGAGGCAGUUCUGCAAACCAGAUCCGUGUGAUUUCAACACAUUACCUGCCACCAUCUCUAUUUUGGGGAAAGGGGGAAGAAAGGGGGUGGAACCACCCCAGUACCCUCAGGUGAUCGGUCUUUGGGAGGGUGAAAAUAAAGCAGGAUUAGAGAGAUCACAGACUGGAGCGAGGAUAGGGUUUAGACCUCUGAAAAGGAUGCCUCCCAUCCCCAGUCUAAGGACACAUGGCUCAACUCACACCUUCUCCCGUCACAGAUUGUGUUAGUAAUACUGAGAAAAAACAAUGUGCGAUCCUUGAGUCCUCAUUUAUUGCUGAGGUCUUUGGCUUAUUCGUUAAUGUUCUUUUAUCUCUUUGGACCUUGGACUCUGAACCACCUUUAGAUCUAGUUGGCCAGCCCUCCUGCUUGCCUGCGAUAUGGGUUUAUCCAACCGGCUACCGCGGCCAAUCACGGCAUGCAGAGGGCGCUCCAACCCCACGCACGUGAUAAUCUCUUCGGUGUUUCUGAGCUUCUCGGCCAGAGGACUUGACUAGGGCUGACCUGCCCCUCCGCGUCUUCUCUCUUCAGACUGCCUCAGGACCCCAUUCCAGGGAUUGAAGGUAGAAUUCAGAGAAGACAUGGAAGAUAUAGGGGAUUUUGGCAGGUGCUUUAGAGGCAUAGUGGGGUGCGUUUCAGUAAAUGAAAGUAGACUGAAGGAAGCAGGGGCGUAUGAAGAUCCUUAUGGGGCUUGCUGUUUUGCAUGACUGCUCAUGAAUAGGGAAAAACUAUAUAAUGCAUUUCGUCCUGGUGGGUUCAAGGCAGUGGUGGUGACACUAUGGCUUUUUAGGACGGUAGUAUGUAUGUAUUUGGGUACCCCCUUGAUCAUUGUUUUUGGAGGUGAGGAGGUCUGAGGAAGCCUGGUUGUACCUUUAGCAUAUAAGUAUCUUCUUGGCCCUGGUGUGUGGAAGAUGGUGGCCUGGGAAGGGUGGGCACUGUACCUACACUGGCCAUGCUCUUACUCUGAGGAAGAGGAUCUCCUCCUUGAACCCCGAAGAUGGGUCUGAGAGCUUUUGGGGGCAGCUGGGUAUUAUUCAUGGAGCAUAGCAUCCUCUUGAUUCCUGUAUCUUUCUAUCCAGCCAUCAGUCCAUCCAUUUCCUGAGUACCUGGUAUGGGCCAGGCUUUCUGUUAGGCCUUGGUGGAGGACACAAAAAUGGGCAUAACAAUAUAGUACAACCUGAUGUAUGCAAGUGGAGGGGGAAGGGUUGGAUAAAAUCAUUCUUAUCCCAGAUAGCUGGGAACAAGGGCCUUGGGAGCAGCACAGAACAAAGGACUUUGAAAUUUGGCUGCUACGAAGACUUUAUGAAGAUUUACCUGCAAAAUCAGGUGAUAAUUCUUAGCAUUACACUUGUGUAGCUUAUAUAAAUAAGAUAAUACACUCAGACUGUUUAGCAGACUGCUUGAAAGGUAGAAAGUGGUAAGGCAAUGGUAUCUGUUACCAUCAUGAUGAUUAUUAUGUAAAGGUGGCCUUAGCUUCCCGCCACCCCCAUCACAGGCCUGACCUGUUUUUUUUGCAUCUAGGGCUGACCACAUUUCUGUAGAGCAAAGCCUGAUGCCAAGAGUGCCACCCAGCUGGGCUCCAAAGAGUAGAUCUGGUAGAAAUGAAUGAGGACAGGGAAGGCAUAAAUUCUAUGUCUUUAAUUCAAGGCAGGACAGCUUCCAGAAGGUGUCGGGCUGAGCAUUGGGACUGAGAGGGGGGCCUUGGCCUCUUCUUCAGAUGGCCAGCUCAUUUCUCCUCCAGGUCCUUGAUGUAGUCCUGGACCCAGACGUCAUUGGGGUUGGCGCAUAUGGAAUGGCCCUUUUUGGUGAUGAAGCUAUGGAGCGAGAGGGAGAAGGGUUACAGACUCAGGCAUCAAGCAGUGAAGUGUGAGCCAGUCAGCCUCCCAGAUUCCUCACCCAUCUAGGCUGUUUCUCCUUUCUUUGUCAGAGGCAGCUCAAGACCAGUCUCCUCUCUGAGACAUGCUCUCCAGCCCCUCGGGGACCCUGGACCCAUCUCCAUGCUUCUCCUGCCCCUGGAAGUGCCCUCCUGCCUUCCCUUCCCCUCCCCUGAUGCCUCCCCAUGCAUGGGCUCAGCUUCCUCCUGGCUCCCCAGAGGCUCAGCCAGGCCAGAAAGCCCCCAGGUUUCCCCUCCGCUGCCUGUCACUGCACCUGAGAAGUGCUCUGGGGAGUCCCCACUCCAGUUCCUCCCUAUCCCCCAGGGCUUGCAGGCUUCCUGUCCCCUGGUAUAUGGUGUGUGGGUGCCACCUACACCACUCCGGGCCUGGAGCACUGGCUGCUGGUCUCAUAAUAACCCGUGAUCCGAUGACGCGCGAUUGCCUGGGCAAUGUAGUUGAAGCAGCACUCGGCCGGGUGGUAAGGUCCUCCUGAGGAGAGAGCAGGGAGGGAAGUGGACACUGGGUUCUCUGCUAAAGGCCAGAGCUGCUGGCUGCUUCUGCACUAUAGAGGGUGGAAGAGGGAAAGGAGGAGGAGGUGGCCUCACAGAAUUUGGAGGGAGGGUUGUGCAGAGACUUGGUCCUCCGGCUCCUCUUUCCCUCCUCCUGCAUCCACAAUCACCCUCCUUCCUGUUCUUCAACCUCUCCUAGAAAGACUGGCUGAUGACCUUCAACUCCAGAUUUAAGGUUAGCAAAGCCCAAAUCUUCUCACAGGUGCAAGAGAGUGACUGGAAAUAAUCCGUUCCUUCAAGCUUCAAUUAUGGAGGUAGCAGGAAGGUUACUUCAGAACGAGGGCCCUGGAGAAACAAGUAGGCACUGCAGUCAUGGAGUGGAGUGCUGGGGGUGUGCAUGUUAUGUGCUCAGCCUGGACAGAACCCUGUGUGUGUUGGCAGUGGCCUCUGAGGUUGCAGAGGGGCAGCUGGAUGCUUGGGUGGCAAGGGAACAGCUGGGUCUUUUAUCCAGUUCCAUUCCAGGUAGCAUCCUGUGUCUCCAAAGAAUGGAAUAAGGGGUCCACUGGUUCCUGAGACCAGUCUCAACCUAUUCCUCUGAGAGGAAUCUUCUCAGAGAGGCAAGUUGAACUGUCCAGAUUACCACUAACUUUAGACUGGCUUUAUUUCAACAACCCCCUCUGUUUCCUCCCAGUUUCUGAGAAGAAGCUGAGGUAAAGAUGAAGGGUGAGGCAUGGUUUUGGUUGUGUGUAAAGGCAGCUCAUCCUAAGAAAUAAGCUGGAAAAAGGUGACCGAGGUGAGACCCCGCACUGUUGUGGUCGCCCUCAGCCCAUACCUAAGCAAGGCCACACCUUUGGGUAGGGCUGACCCUGGAAGCCGGCAGCCCCAAUCUCAGAGGGCAAGCAGACAAAUGGCUCCUCUGUAUCCCUGGGGAUAAUGUCCCCCAAAUAAGGUGGGCUACUCUUACUUAAUGGCAAAGAGAGAUGAACUGAGGGAGUGGAGAGGCAGGUUCACUCCAUGGCCUUGGCAGGAGGGGGGACUAGUCCUGGGAGGGUGAGGACAAAACCAAUUUCAGAAGAUCCCAGACCUCCUCCUUGUCUCUCCAGCAACUUUACUCCUGCUUCUUUCCUCACAGGGGCAAGGAUGGAAGGAAGACAAGGUAUUGCACUCACGUGAAGAGGAUUUAGCCGUGGACACCAGGGCACCGGUGAUGAGGAGGAGGAAGAGGGAGAUGGCAGCCAUGGAGACUUUCAUCCUCCUGGGUUGAGGGAGCUGCUGCAGGAGGAGAACUUGCCUGGUAGGGGCUUCUGAAGCUCCUGGGCUGAGGUGGUGGUGAGAAA